rnacentral:rRNA from 1 species
UGGAGAAGAACGGGUGUCAGAGUAACUGUUGACAUCGUAACGGUAUCCAACCAGAAAGCCACGGCUAACUACGUGCCAGCAGCCGCGGUAAUACGUAGGUGGCAAGCGUUGUCCGGAUUCAUUGGGCGUAAAGCGAGCGCAGGCGGUUUUUUAGGUCUGAUGUGAAAGCCUUCGGCUUAACCGGAGAAGUGCAUCGGAAACCGGGAGACUUGAGUGCGGAAGAGGACAGUGGAACUCCAUGUGUAGCGGUGAAAUGCGUAGAUAUAUGGAAGAACACCAGUGGCGAAGGCGGCUGUCUGGUCUGCAACUGACGCUGAGGCUCGAAAGCAUGGGUAGCGAACAGGAUUAGAUACCCUGGUAGUCCAUGCCGUAAACGAUGAGUGCUAAGUGUUGGAGGGUUUCCGCCCUUCAGUGCUGCAGCUAACGCAUUAAGCACUCCGCCUGGGGAGUACGACCGCAAGGUUGAAACUCAAAGGAAUUGACGGGGGCCCGCACAAGCGGUGGAGCAUGUGGUUUAAUUCGAUGCUACGCGAAGAACCUUACCAGGUCUUGACAUCUUCUGCUAACCUAAGAGAUUAGGCGUUCCCUUCGGGGACGGAAUGACAGGUGGUGCAUGGUUGUCGUCAGAUCGUGUCGUGAGAUGUUGGGUUAAGUCCCGCAACGAGCGCAACCCUUAUUGUCAGUUGCCAGCAUUUAGUUGGGCACUCUGGCGAGACUGCCGGUGACAAACCGGAGGAAGGUGGGGAUGACGUCAAAUCAUCAUGCCCCUUAUGACCUGGGCUACACACGUGCUACAAUGGACGGUACAACGAGUCGCGAAACCGCGAGGUCAAGCUAAUCUCUGAAAGCCGUUCUCAGUUCGGAUUGCAGGCUGCAACUCGCCUGCAUGAAGUUGGAAUCGCUAGUAAUCGUGGAUCAGCAUGCCACGGUGAAUACGUUCCCGGGCCUUGUACGCACCGCCCGUCACACCAUGAGAGUUUGUAACACCCAAAGCCGGUGAGGUAACCUUCGGGAACCAGCCGUCUAAGGUGGGACAGAUGAUUAGGGUGAAGUCGUAACAAGGUAGCCGUAGGAGAACCUGCGGCUGGAUCACCUCCUUUCUAA